GGGCCCGCACAAGCGGUGGAGCAUGUGGUUUAAUUCGAUGAUACGCGAGGAACCUUACCAGGGCUUAAAUGUAGUCUGACAGGGGUGGAAACACCCCCUUCUUCGGACAGACUGCAAGGUGCUGCAUGGUUGUCGUCAGCUCGUGCCGUGAGGUGUCAGGUUAAGUCCUAUAACGAGCGCAACCCCUGUCGUUAGUUGCCAGCAUGUAAAGAUGGGAACUCUAACGAGACUGCCGGUGCAAACCGCGAGGAAGGUGGGGAUGACGUCAAAUCAUCACGGCCCUUACGUCCUGGGCCACACACGUGCUACAAUGGCAGGUACAAUGGGCAGCCACGCCGCAAGGCGGAGCGAAUCCACAAAACCUGUCUCAGUUCGGAUCGGGGUCUGCAACUCGACCCCGUGAAGCUGGAAUCGCUAGUAAUCGGAUAU
rnacentral:rRNA from 1 species